UUUCUUACUGCGACGGGUCGAGGUGUUGGUCCGGAGUCUGGACGAAUAACAAAACGGUGACGCACUGGUUAAAUGCAAUAACAGGAAUAUGAGACACUCCGUGCACCAAUAUGUGUGUAACCCCGCCCCCCGUCCAGGGUGAAAGUGAAAGUAUGAAGAGUUGUUUACUGCGUCAGUUUAACAGCGACGGGUCGAGGUGGUGCACCACGGAGUUACUACACACUACGAGUAAAGAAGGAGAGAACUAAACCAACUGGACGGGGCUGUUCUGCAAGUUAUUAUCAGAACAUCUGAUGUUCUAAAGUCAAGAAGAUGAUCGGAUAUGUGUUUCUGUGGGACCUUUUAAUGGAUGACAGGAGUAGACAAUCAAGCUCAGGAGGUCGUCCAAACUUUCACGCUGAACCCAGACCUUCACAAACAAGUGUCCAGUCUACUUCCUGCGACCUGGACACCCUGAAGGUGACUCGAUCUGAGCGUACGUUGGGGAGACAAUCCCAUCCAUGUCCCUAUAACUUCUGACACUGAACCCAGACCUUUAUGAACCGAGAUCCUAUAGUCUGGUUUGGUGAUCCUGCCGUGCUGGUCUUGGUCCAGUCUGUCUGGCCUGUCGACGUGUCCUGUCCCCUUGUUCCUGUUCCAGGUUUUCCCCCGGGCUGUUUCCCUGUUUUUUGUAUUGCCCCCCCCCCCCCCCCCCGGACCUGCUUUUGGACUUUUUCGGGAACUGAACAAAAUUAUAUCUUUAAUAGUAAAUAUGUGGAACCUUGAGGAAUGAAGGAAAGCUUUGAGACGAGGGAAGUGUUGAGUUAUAAAAAGUUAAAAACAAUGUUUUGAAAAUAACGUAUUUCUGUGUAUGAAUGAUGGAGCCAGGUUAGGAAAAUCUGUGAAGAGGUCAAGUUGGCCCCUUUGUGUCUCCCCUACCCCUCUGUCUCUGCCAGACCUGUUAGAACUUAGAAAGAACCCGAUUGUUUCACACCAGGAAGUAACUUUCUGUCUCCUACCCCCCUUGGGUCUUAGUCCAGACUAAGACAACACAAUGCUGAGUAAACUGUAUUGAUGUCAGAGUUCACAUUCACAUGACAGACCCUUUGGAUCUGUGACCAAAACCAACCCCAAAGGAGCCAGGUUUAAAGGCUUGUCCUCCCCCAUUGGACAGCAAAGAUGCGAACGACGGACCAAUGAGAAUGGAUUUGAAUGCACCAGGUGAAAAGUACCCCCCCCCCCCACCCCCCCCCCCGUGCAGGGGGUAAAUGGUUGUGAUUAAGAAUAAUCAGGACUGAUCAGGACUGGUCUAAUGUGACUCCGUCAGGAGGAAGCAUGGGUCCAGUCCGCUGUCAGCUGCAGCGUUGUCAUGUUUUGUGUCUUAUCAUCUUCAUCAUUCUGUUCUUUUAAAUCUCAAUUGGACCCGAGCCUCCUUCCUCCGAGAUCCAACAGGACCAGACCCAGGAGGGUCAGCCCAGCAGAGUGAGAUCAGAUAAACGUGCAGCUGUGACCGUAUGAAAAAGGAGAAUAUUGUUUCUUUAUUAUUAACUAUGUAAACUUAAACUCGCCUAAUACACCCAGCUACAGCUCAACCAAUAGGAAAGCAAAUAAUAUGAUAUACUAACCCACAUGUAUGUAAAACAAUGAUAUAUUAACCAACAUUUAUGUAAAACAAUUAUAUACUAACCCACAUGUAUGUACAACAAUGAUAUAAUAACCCACAUUUAUGUAAAACUGUAUUCUACACCAUUUAUGUAAAUCAACUUUCAAUAAAACGGCGGAGCGGGGGAUGAGAGCUUUGGUUGCUGAAUGAUUUUCAGUUCUCAUUCCCCUUUUGCCAGAAAAAGCCA